rnacentral:rRNA from 1 species
GAUGAACGCUGGCGGCGUGCCUAACACAUGCAAGUCGAGCGAGAUGUAUAUGGACGAAACUUCGGUCUAGGAAAUAUAUUGACAGCGGCGGACGGGUGAGUAACGCGUAGGCAACCUGCCCUUAACACAGGGAUAGCCUCGGGAAACCGGAAUUAAAACCUGAUAAUGCCAAAUAGUCACAUGGCUGUUUGGCCAAAGAUUUAUCGGUUAAGGAUGGGCCUGCGUCUGAUUAGUUUGUUGGUGGGGUAACGGCCUACCAAGACUACGAUCAGUAGCCGACCUGAGAGGGUGAUCGGCCACAUUGGAACUGAGACACGGUCCAAACUCCUACGGGAGGCAGCAGUGGGGAAUAUUGCACAAUGGGCGAAAGCCUGAUGCAGCAACGCCGCGUGAGCGAUGAAGGCCUUUGGGUCGUAAAGCUCUGUCCUUGGGGAAGAAACAAAUGACGGUACCCAAGGAGGAAGCCCCGGCUAACUACGUGCCAGCAGCCGCAGUAA